rnacentral:rRNA from 1 species
UAGGGGCAGAGGGAAUUUCCGGUGUAGCGGUGAAAUGCGUAGAUAUCGGGAAGAACACCAGUGGCGAAAGCGCUCUGCUGGACCAUUACUGACGCUCAUGGACGAAAGCCAGGGGAGCGAAAGGGAUUAGAUACCCCUGUAGUCCUGGCCGUAAACGAUGAACACUAGAUGUUGGGGGAAUCGACCCCCUCGGUGUCGUAGCUAACGCGUUAAGUGUUCCGCCUGGGGAGUACGCACGCAAGUGUGAAACUCAAAGGAAUUGACGGGGGCCCGCACAAGCGGUGGAGUAUGUGGUUUAAUUCGAUGCAACGCGAAGAACCUUACCAAGGCUUGACAUCCUGCGAAUCUCCGAGAAAUUGGAGAGUGCCUUCGGGAACGCAGUGACAGGUGGUGCAUGGCUGUCGUCAGCUCGUGUCGUGAGAUGUUGGGUUAAGUCCCGCAACGAGCGCAACCCACGUUUUUAGUUGCCAGCAUUCAGUUGGGCACUCUAGAAAGACUGCCGGUGACAAACCGGAGGAAGGUGUGGACGACGUCAAGUCAUCAUGCCCCUUACGCCUUGGGCUACACACGUACUACAAUGCUGCGGACAAAGAGUAGCGAUCUUGCGAAAGUUAGCUAAUCUCGUAAACCGUGGCUCAGUUCAGAUCGUAGGCUGCAACUCGCCUACGUGAAGGAGGAAUCGCUAGUAAUCGCAGGUCAGCAUACUGCGGUGAAUACGUUCCCGGGCCUUGUACACUCCGCCC